rnacentral:rRNA from 1 species
UAGAGUUUGAUCAUGGCUCAGAUUGAACGCUGGCGGCAGGCCUAACACAUGCAAGUCGAACGGUAGCACAGAGGAGCUCGCUCCUUGGGUGACGAGUGGCGGACGGGUGAGUAAUGUCUGGGAAACUGCCCGAUGGAGGGGGAUAACUACUGGAAACGGUAGCUAAUACCGCAUAACNGUCGCAAGACCAAAGAGGGGGACCUUCGGGCCUCUUGCCAUCGGAUGUGCCCAGAUGGGAUUAGCUAGUAGGUGGGGUAACGGCUCACCUAGGCGACGAUCCCUAGCUGGUCUGAGAGGAUUGACCAGCCACACUUGGACUGAGACACGGUCCAGACUCCUACGGGAGGCAGCAGUGGGGAAUAUUGCACAAUGGGCGCAAGCCUGAUCACCCUGCCGCGUG